rnacentral:rRNA from 1 species
AACGAACGCUGGCGGCAUGCUUAACACGUGCAAGUCGAACGAGACCUUCGGGUCUAGUGGCGCACGGGUGCGUAACGCGUGGGAAUCUGCCCUUAGGUACGGAAUAACUCAGAGAAAUUUGUGCUAAUACCGUAUGAUGUCGAAAGACCAAAGAUUUAUCGCCUAAGGAUGAGCCCGCGUAAGAUUAGCUUGUUGGUGAGGUAAAAGCUCACCAAGGCGACGAUCUUUAGCUGGUCUGAGAGGAUGAUCAGCCACACUGGGACUGAGACACGGCCCAGACUCCUACGGGAGGCAGCAGUGGGGAAUAUUGGACAAUGGGCGAAAGCCUGAUCCAGCAAUGCCGCGUGAGUGAUGAAGGCCUUAGGGUUGUAAAGCUCUUUUGUCCGGGAAGAUAAUGACUGUACCGGAAGAAUAAGCCCCGGCUAAACUUCGUGCCAGCAGCCGCGGU